GAUGAACGCUAGCUACAGGCUUAACACAUGCAAGUCGCGGGGCAGCAUUCACUUAGCUUGCUAGGUGAGAUGGCGACCGGCGCACGGGUGAGUAACGCGUAUCCAACCUGCCCUUGUCCACGGGAUAACUCGGUGAAAACCGGCCUAAUACCGUAUGAGGUCACAAGCGGGCAUCCAACUGUGACGAAAGGUUUAGCGGACAAGGAUGGGGAUGCGUCCGAUUAGCUUGACGGCGGGGUAACGGCCCACCGUGGCUACGAUCGGUAGGGGUUCUGAGAGGAAGGUCCCCCCACAUUGGAACUGAGACACGGUCCAAACUCCUACGGGAGGCAGCAGUGAGGAAUAUUGGUCAAUGGGCGUGAGCCUGAACCAGCCAAGUAGCGUGCGGGAUGAAGGCCCUAUGGGUUGUAAACCGCUUUUUCAGGGGGAUAAAGUGAGUGACGUGUCAUUCAUUGCAGGUACCCUGCGAAUAAGGACCGGCUAAUUCCGUG
rnacentral:rRNA from 1 species